rnacentral:piRNA from 1 species
UCAGCUAAAUCGGAUGUCUUGAUCCAC